rnacentral:rRNA from 1 species
CCUACGGGAGGCAGCAGUGGGGAAUAUUGGGCAAUGGGCGCAAGCCUGACCCAGCAACGCCGCGUGAAGGAAGAAGGCCCACGGGUUGUAAACUUCUUUUGUCCGGUACGAAACACAUGACGGUCCCUGACGAAUAAGCCACGGCUAACUACGUGCCAGCAGCAGCGGUAAUACGUAGGUGGCAAGCGUUAUCCGGCUUUACUGGGUGUAAAGGGCGUGUAGGCGGGAGAGCAAGUCAGAUGUGAAAUUCCAGGGCUCAACCCUGGAACUGCAUUUGUAACUGUUUUUCGUGAGUGAUGGAGAGGCAGGCGGAAUUCCGUGUGUAGCGGUGAAAUGCGUAGAUAUACGGAGGAACACCAGUGGCGAAGGCGGCCUGCUGGACAUUAACUGACGCUGAGGCGCGAAAGCGUGGGGAGCAAACAGGAUUAGAUACCCGUGUAGUC